ACCACGUUGAAAUACACAGGUGUAUCCAGCCAGUAUACUGUAUACCACGUUGAAAUACACAGGUGUAUCCAGCCAGUAUACCACGUUGAAAUACACAGGUGUAGCCAGCCAGUAUACCAUGUUGAAAUACACAGGUGUAUCCAGCCAGUAUACUGUAUACCACGUUGAAAUACACAGGUGUAUCCAGCCAGUAUACUGUAUACUAUGUUGAAAUACACAGGUGUAUCCAGCCAGUAUACCACGUUGAAAUACACAGGUGUAUCCAGCCAGUAUACCACGUUGAAAUACACAGGUGUAUCCAGCCAGUAUACCAUGUUGAAAUACACAGGUGUAUCCAGCCAGUAUACCACGUUGAAAUACACAGGUGUAGCCAGCCAGUAUACCACGUUGAAAUACACAGGCGUAUCCAGCCAGUAUACUGUAUACCAUGUUGAAAUACACAGGCGUAUCCAGCCAGUAUACUGUAUACCAUGUUGAAAUACACAGGCGUAUCCAGCCAGUAUACUGUAUACCAUGUUGAAAUACACAGGUGUAUCCAGCCAGUAUACUGUAUACCACGUUGAAAUACACAGGUGUAGUACUAUUCUAGGAUUUGUUCAUUACCAAGUUGGAACAUAUUUUUAUUGCAUAUUAUAAUGCUUGUUGUUGUUGUUGUUGUUGUAUAUCCUCUGCCUUGACGAUGGAAGUAUCCGGUUGAUCCGAUUCGAGGUGACGCUGGCGUCAUGAAAUAAAAGCACAUAUAUAUACUUUAUGAAAUAAUGUUUACACUCCUGUUGUUUAUUAAAAAUAAAAUUUAAAAAGGCAUUGUUAAUUCAAAUGUCUGUAUUUCAAUAUACUUAUUUUAUACCGUUUUAUAAGUGACAUAUAUAUAUAUAUAUUGUGUAUGAAAAGCCUUGUAAUUGUUGUAAUCACUUGAUGUGAUUUUUGUGCAUUUGACAUCAGUGUCUCGUUGUAUUUUUUUCAAUAUUAAAAGGACCCAGAGCAGUCA
ensembl:lncRNA